rnacentral:rRNA from 1 species
UACGUAGGGUGCGAGCGUUGUCCGGAAUUAUUGGGCGUAAAGAGCUUGUAGGCGGUCUGUCGCGUCUGCUGUGAAAAUCCGGGGCUCAACCCCGGACCUGCAGUGGGUACGGGCAGACUAGAGUGUGGUAGGGGAGACUGGAAUUCCUGGUGUAGCGGUGAAAUGCGCAGAUAUCAGGAGGAACACCGAUGGCGAAGGCAGGUCUCUGGGCCAUAACUGACGCCGAGAAGCGAAAGCAUGGGGAGCGAACAGG